rnacentral:lncRNA from 1 species
CAAGCCUCAUAAGUCCCAACGCUGGUGGAAACAACUGCUCCAACAUACUGGCCUGGUGGUCCCACCUUCUAUUUCUGGUGAGGGUACUGCUGCCCUCAUUGGCCCAGCUGAAGUGAUUGACGUGUGAAUAGCUCAAUGAACUAUGACUCUUAGAAGCACCCACCCCACCCUCCACCCUGUGGCAGUUAUAGACUGAUGCUCUCCUCGCGAGACUUCAGAGUAACGAGGUCUUUGGGAAGAAUCUCUCCAACCGUUUUUCGUUUUUGUUUUUUUCUUUCCAAAACUCAAAGCCAAGUAUCUUUAGUAAAAGGUGGAGGAUAUUUUAGUCUCCCCCAAAACGAACACACGGUAGCUUAAAAGUACAAAUGACCUCUCAUAAGGGAUUACAGGAUGUCAUAUUGAAUGAGCUACCUAAGAUAUUGGACAUGGAGUGACAUGGAGCCUGAUGGAAUAUGGCCGGGGCGAAUCACACAGCCACAGUCAUCUAUUGUCCCACCACCCUGCACACACUCCCAUUGGACAUGAGUGUUAUGAGAGGCGCAUCACAUCAACAGAAUUUCCCCAUGGCUUCUGGUUCUUAGUCAUCCAAUCAAAACAGGUGACUUGAGUGUGGGAUGACACUGUGAUGGGGCAACCACCUGGACAGAUGUCUCAACACCUGUUGUCUUGUUGUUGGUAAAACCUCCUGGGAAAGCCACUACUUUCUCUUUUCUGAUUCUGUGUUUACCGAGCAAUAUUGUAUUCUGCUGUCUUCAUCAAAUUGUUUGGCCAAGAAGAAUGGGCCCUGUGGAGGUGGCUGAGGCUAAACCGAUUGCCAACUGAAAAGGAAUUUGCCAAUGAGCUAUAAGAUCAGUUCCUGAGGAACUAGGUAAACUGGAACCUUGUCCUUGGAGCAUGCUUGAGGAAAUGGACAAACUAGUGUUGCUGGUGCACUCUUGGGAUGUAAUGACUUAGGGUUAAUGUGGGACAGAAAUCACUGGUAGAGUUUACGGUAAAGAUAGAGGAGGGAUAAUACUGGAGUAGGGAGAAAAAAGUCUAUUGUCUACUGGAAUCUUUUAACAAUUAUUCAUUUCCCCUUCCAAGAUUCCUAACAGAAGUUAAGAAAGGAUCAAUCUACUAGCUUACGUGCCCUUGUUAGAUGCUCUAUGAAAGCAAUGAGGCACUGUAGUGAAGGCUGCAGUUGGUUUGUAAAGACCAGUGGGAGUGCUUUCCCAUCAUGAUGUUCCUUACUGGGUCAUCUGAGCAGAGGCAACAUUGGGGAGUUUACUUUUGAACGCCAUCUUCAGUCAUUCUUGUAGUUCCAGCUUCUGCCCAGGUCCCAGGGGUGGUCAGGCCUAGGUCCUAAGGAGCAUGUGUCUCAUCAGACAACAUGGCAUAGGAUCAGGAACUGGCUUCUGGUUCCUGCUUCAGAGGUGGGGUGGGG